AUUGAACGCUGGCGGCAGGCCUAACACAUGCAAGUCGAGCGAGCGGCGGACGGGUGAGUAAUGUCUGGGAAACUGCCUGAUGGAGGGGGAUAACUACUGGAAACGGUAUCUAAUACCGCAUACCCUCAGAUGUGCCCAGAUGGGAUGGGCUGGUAGGUGGGGUAACGGCUCACCUAGGCGACGAUCCCUAGCUGGUCUGAGAGGAUGACAAGCCACACUGGAACUGAGAAACGGUCCAGACUCCUACGGGAGGCAGCAGUGGGGAAUAUUGCACAAUGGGCGCAAGCCUGAUGCAGCCAUGCCGCGUGUGUGAAGAAGGCCUUCGGGUUGUAAAGCACUUUCAGCGGGGAGGCGUUACCCGCAGAAGAAGCACCGGCUAACUCCGUGCCAGCAGCCGCGGUAAUUC
rnacentral:rRNA from 1 species